GAAUCAUCCGGUUGAUUAUGGCCUCUGCCUCUACAAGCAUUCCCUCUUUACAAUGUGCAUCCACCAGAAUAUUGAAGGUUUGAACAUUCGGCAUGACUCUGCUUUGCACCAUAUGACUCAGCAGUCUUUGGGACUCUUUCAAUUGGCCGGAAUUGCACACUCCUUGAAUGACAGAGGUAUAAGUAACGACAUCCGGUUCAAUUCCUGCCUCCAUCAUCUUCUCCAUCCAGACCGUCGCAUCUUUCCAUUGGCCUAGCUUGCACAAGUAAUGAACCAAGGAGUUAUAAGUGAAUAUGUCGGGUUGGAUGCCUCCGCUUGUCAUCUCUUUCAACAAUAUGAGAGCAUCUUCCAUCUGGCCUACAUCGCACAGACCGUGGAUCAAGGUGUUAUAAGUAACAACAUUUGGUUUGACGCCUUUCUUGCUCAUAAUGCCGUGGAGUCUCAACGCCUCUGUGAUCAAUCCCUCCUUGCAAAGACCAUCAAUUACUAUGCCGUAUGCAAAGGAACCGAGCCUGCAGCUUCUCUCUUCCCAGUCCCUCAGCAAUUCAAUUGCCAAUCCGGUGUUACCUGCCUUGCAUAACCCCUUGGCAAUUAUCGCAUACGUGGUCUCAUCAGGUUCGGGGCCAUUUCGUCCCAUAUCAUCGAGGAACCUCAAGGCUUGAUCAGUUUUGCCCUGAAUAAAGAGACCGUCAAUCAGGGUGCUCGACGUCACCACAGUGAUGGGAAACCCAAGCUUGAAGAUUCUGCCCAGAAUAGACAAACCCAAAUCAACCCGCCUUAACCGGCAGAAGCAAUUCAUCCAAAUAGUGAGCAACACAACAUCAUCCUCGACCCCCAAAGAAGGCAGCCGCUCAAUCAAGCGGAUGGCAGUCGAGUAGUGCUUCAUCCUCACUAUAGCGCCCAACAGUAGAUUGAAAUCCCUGGAGGAAGGCAAAGGGCUCGCCUUUAUCAUUUUACCGAAGCAACACAGGGCAUCACCGACACUCGUAAACAAACCACCACCAGCUCUGCAAUUUCUCCUCACGUAACUCAAGACCUGGUUGGGAUCGUCUAAAUUAGGGUUAGGGGUCGAGGAAAACCUCCGACGACGGGGAGACGAGAAAGGGAGAUGAGAAGGAUGAGGGAGAUGGAGGAUGGAAUGGGAUGACGACUCGCUGGAGAACGCAGCUGGAGCACGAAGAAGGAGGAAGAUGGAAGAAGCAGGGCAGACAUUCUUUGGCUUCAUCGGUUGAUGAUGAAUCUGAAAGCUGAAAAGCUUCAGCUUAUGGCUCUCUCUCUAUCAAGCUUUCAUAUUCGGGCUUGGCUCUACCGUUUCUUGGUUAUGAUAUCGAACAGAAAGAUGUAGAUCUGGAUAGGACAUGAUUUCAAAUGAUUUCGCAUCAUUAUUUACUGACAAUACGAAUAUUUCUUUUAUCCAUUUUUUUAAUAAGUGAUACAAUUAAUCGCAAAAUCAGAUUUUCAUUUUUUUGUUAGUAGUGACUCAUGCGCACAGUUUUACUUCUCCAACUAAUUGAGAUUUACCAGAUCAUUGAACAUAUUGAUAAACAGUGUGAUAACUUGAUGAGGAGCAUCUAACAAUAUAUUUCAAUCCGCUUAACUUGUAUCUACGACUACGUAUGUUUGUACGGAUGAAUAAAUUAUAGCAUGUAAUGUGGAAUUUAACUCAUUUCAUGUCCCGAUCCAACAAUUGAAAUUUGAUUUAACAAAUAUUUCUGACUCAAUCAUUCCUAAUUUCACUACAAGGCCUUGAGCAUUCUGCUUCAUAAACCGCAAUCCUUCUUAGAAAUAUAAUUGUCCAAGGACCUAAACAAUAAUACCAGAGAUGAUUCACAAGCUAAAAAGAGAGAGAGGGAAACAACAAUCCUUCUUAGAAAUAUAAUUGUCCAAGGACCUAACUAAUAAUGCCGAAGACGAUUCAUGAGCUAGCAAGAGAGAGAGAAAGAGAGAGAGAGAGAGCAUGAGUAGUGAUGGGCUAUGGCGUUAAAAUUUGACGCACAAUCACAAGAAAAUAAAUUAAAAGCGAGAAGGAGAAAUUGAAACACAAAAUUUAUCCCAAAUUGCUCCUAAACUAGGAGUACAUUUAGCAAAUAACUCUACUAUAAUUAGCAUAUUGCAUCUUUAUGUUACAAUUUUCAAUUACAAGAGAAAGAAAUUAUAUAUGCUCGGUAACUAUUCAUGAGCUUAAGCCUAAACUGCUAAUAAAUAUGAACUCAAAUUAUAAAAAUCUCCAAACUCUUGUGUGCAUUCCUGUUAAUUGGGAGUAUGAAUCACUUCCCCAAUAUAUCAUAUAGUAUGGAAGUUGUUGUUAGAGAAGCAAAAGUGGCAAAAAAUAGGGAUGGAUUUGAGUGGGGCAUAGAGCAGGAGAGAAGCAAUGGCGGAUUUAUCUUAUAUCAUCAUUUAGCGACAAUACAAAUAUUUUUUAUAAAUUUUUUUUAUAAAUGAUACAAAUGACCAUUUUCACGAGCUAAACAGAGGGAAAGAACAUGAGCAGUAACGAGCUAUGGUGUAAGGAUUCGACGCACAAUUACAAAAAAAAAAAAAAAAGAGCGAGGAAAAGAAAUUGAAACACAAACCACCGCCCGUGGUGGCCGCAGUGGUUUCGCGCUCUCUCCCCCACCGAGGGGGGAGGGGUUCAAAACUCCGCGUAAGCAUUCGCGCGACUCACCUGUGGCUGAGUCUGUGGUGGUGGCCCAGUUCAUCCCGGGUUUACCUCGCCGGCUGCCAGCUGUUCGGGGGUUCCCGGAUUACCAAAAAGAAAAAACAAGAAUUGAAACACAAGAUUUAUCUUAUAUUGCUAGUCAAGGGGUUGUGCACAUUGGCGACUGCUAUUUUGGGGUUGCUUGAGGUCGCACGACUCAGUCUAGGCCGUUCAACAGCCAGAUCCAGUCGUUGGCCGCCAAUGGCUAAACUUAAAAAAAAAAAAAAUGUAAAAACUUUUUUAACAAAAAAUUAUUAAAAGUCCUUUAUAAAUGUAAUUUUUAUCGAACGAUAUUUAAACCAAAGUGUUUUUUAAUGCACUUUAAAAUUACAAUUCACCAAACACUAUUUACAUUUUGGAAAACCCCUUUGCCCCAAAAGUGUUUGCAUUUUCCCAAGAACAUUUUCUCAAAACCAAACCAAAGGGGACCUAUAUAUACCCAGUAGCUACUCAUGGGCUUAAACCCAUAUUAUCAAUAAAAUACAAGCUUGAACUAUAAAAGCUCCCAAAUCAAGAUUAUGAAUCACGUCCCAAUGUAUAUCACGGAGAAUGUUGUUGGAGAGGCAAAACUAGCAAAAAAUUGGGAUGGAUUUGAGUGGGGCAUAGAGCGGGAGAGAAGCAAUGUGGACGGCAACGAAUACUCCAUUGGUGGACGGCGAUACUAGGACUAGUCAUUGGUGGCUGCGAUCGGCUCGGGCUAGUCAUUGGUGGCUACGAUCGGCGAGAGAGGCAUCAAACGUGAGUGAAUCGAGGGCAACGAGCUUACCCAAAAUGAAAAACAAAAUGAGUUUACUUUCAUUAACAAACUCUAAUUGGUAGUGCCUUAAACAUUUAUCCCAAAGCUUUAGUCUUUUGAAAAAAUAUCCCAAAUUAAUACCUCAUGAUAUAUUUAUCCAAAGUAAUUUCAUCUCACAGAACAUCCCAAAUCGAUAUCCCUCACCCAAAUAUAUGCUAUGUUAAAAUGCAUACAUGUCAACAUAUAUGAAUUUUCCACAUCGGAUCAAUCAUUCUUCACCUCUCAUUCAUCUUAUAGCCAUCUGCCAUUUGUGUUGAUAGGUAUGCAUUACAAAUAGAUUUUUGUUUGAAUACCAAUUUGGGGGUUUUUUUUUUGUGAGAUGAAAUUAAUUUGCAAUAAAUAUGUCAUGUGUUUACUAAUUUGAGAUUUUUUUUUAGUUGUAUUAACCCAAAAAAAAAAAAAACAGAAAAAAGCCAAAAUACCUUGUUAGACUCUUUUUCUUAAAGGACCCUUAGAAUGGACUUUUCUCAAAUUCUUCAUGAAGUGAGCUAUACCCUAUGCUCAUCACCGAUGCUAAAAUAGCUAUCGAACGAGCACUCGAUGGUCACAUGGCCAUCUCCACCAUUGGUUAGGGUUUAAUUUGUCCCAAAACUUCCAUUCCCUCAAAAUUACUCACGUGAAGUCCUAGUAAAUUGCACAAAAUAAGCCCCCCAAAUCCCGGUAAUGUGUCAUUUAAAAGCUUGUUUCAAAUAAUUUCUAAUGGUACAAAUUUUGUUCACUUUUUCAAUUCAAUGAACAACAUAUUGGGUAAAAUUGAUACGAAAAUUGGACAAAAAAGAAGAUCACAUUCAAAAGGCGCCAUAUCUACACUCACUAGGACUAAAUCAUGAUAUUUCACUAAAAGACACUCUGCCAUCCAAAUUAUCAAAUACAAUGAAUAGAAAACAAUCAAUGCUUUAAUAUAGAUGUGGCAUAUUGUUCUUCCAAAAAAAAACAAAUAUUGUCUUCUUCCUCUCUUGCUCUUUUCUCAAGUUGAAUAAUAACAUUUCGUAUGCAAAUACAAAAUAAUUAUCUCUUUUAUCCAACCAAUCUCCUUUUUCGAAGCCAUGAUAACUUGUUUUGAGGAGAGUGGUACUUAUACAUAGGGGUGAGCAAUUCCAGAUUUUGUAGAGGUUCCACCUGGGACAUAGAACCUACCCGCUAAAAUAGAUUCAUUAUAUUUUGGAACCUAAAACUUAUUCCGCAUACCUUAAAACCUGCAAUGUACCUUGUAAUAUGUUCUAAGGUCGGAUCCAAAUUCUACCCAGCUUCCACUCGUAUUAUUAAUUGAACGAUUACAGUGAAUCAUCACUUUUAAUGAUCACUACAUGCUAUUACAAUUCACUUAUCAAAACUUAUAUUUAGAUACACGAAUAAUAUGACACAUUAACAAAGUAAAAGAAUCUCAGUCGUAAAAUAGAAAUUCAGACUAGUGAUUCAAUAGACGCUGUGGAAUAAUGUAGAAUCAUACAAAGACAUAAAUAAAGAAAAAUACAAAAAUUUGUUCUAGCUUCUACCAACCAAGAAACUGGAAUCUGUUAUCAAAAUAAAUUCCUUAAUUUUUUAAACUUGAAACUUACCCUGUAUAUCUUGAAACUUAGAACUGAACAAGUUCCCACUAAUCUGGUUUUUCGGUUCCAGGAUCUACCUUAAAACCAUGCUCACCCCUACUUAUACACAUUGCAUAUUCUCUUAGAAAGAACUUCAAAGAACAUGGGUCGGGUUUAUUGAGUCCAUCGAUUUUGGGUAGACUUGACCUAAUAUCCAAUAGGCUCGGAUUUGAAAACACUAUUGCAUAGAGCAAAAGGUACCACAAUGGUGAUUAGUAGCGAUGGUACUUGUGAGCUGUUUCCAUUAGCAAGAUACAACACUAAAGAAGGGUACAUAGGACCACUUGAUAGAUUUCCUACAAUGCAGCGUCCCUUAAUAGGAUCAUGGCAUAAUUAGGACAUCAAAGGCUAGUUCCAUAUUCUCCGGCACAUGUGCAAGGGAUUUCAAAUUCCAUGAUGCACUUCCAAUCAUUUAUAUGAACAGCAAAGAGAAAAUGCCUAACUAACAUUCUCAAAUUAUAUUUCUUUCUAAAUAUCUGUCAUAAGAACUAGAAAUGCGGAACUGGCCACUGAGGUGCAAAUUACCACCAAUUCACAAGACAACAUAAAACAAGAUGUUGUUUAGGUAUCCACUAGCAGGCUUAGCAUAAAGACCUAUCUCUGAAAUGCUUGCAUGCUAUUAUGAUUGUGUCAGCAAACAAAGAGUUGAGGGUGUAACAAGAGGCAGACUAUCCAAGCAUAUCCUCCUGCCGUACGUGAGACUUAAAAAAAAAAAAAAAAACAGAAAAAAUGUGUUCGAGAGUCAAUUUGGCCUUGUUUAGUAACGCUCCAAAAAGUAUCUAAUUUUAUUUUUCUGUUCUUCGGAACAGAAAAAUAAUUCGUUUGGUAAAUUUUUUGUUCUCGAGAAUAGAUUUAGAACAAAAUCAAAAAGUAAGAACAAAAAUCAUUAAAAGAAGACUGAUAAUUCAGAUUCUUAGUGAUUUACGUUAGAACAAUAUGGAUACAUCUUAAUGGACUGCUAAGUUUUUACACUUAGCUCGGGCUCUCCCAAACCCAUACCAAUUCGCGACUUAAGGUUUAAGUUUUUUAACAUGCAAGAGAUUAUUAACUACACCUAAGUAAAAUAAAGGGAGAUUUAUUUUACUCCUACGAACCAGAGACUAUGGGUACGGGGACUUGGUUACAUUAGACUUCUCUAAUACCCUUUCGGUACCAUUUCUUUUUAAUUUUUCAAAAUUAUUUUUGCAGGCAGCUGAUUUAUUUUAACCUAAAUUACUAUCAUGCAAAUGCGGUGACCACACGGGCACUCAUCCAUUAUUUAAAACAUUCAAAUAAAUAAAUUGCAUCAUACAAAGCAAGCAAUCAUUUUUUUGGAUUUUCUUAAAAAUUGGAGUUCUUUUAUAAAAAUGCAUUUCUAAACUAAAUGACUUAAUCCUAUUAAUAUGCAAAUUCUAAUUAAAUGGGUCUAUUAUGCAAACUAAUUAUUAUGCACCUCAUGACCUAACUUCACUAAUGAACAAAUUCUGAUUAAAUAAUCCUAUUAUGCAAACUAAUUAACAUGCACCUAGUAUUUUUGGUUUUUUUAUAUUGAAAUUCAGAAUUUAUAAAUGUCCUAAUUAAUCUAUCUAAAAAGGAUGAUUUUCUAAUUUAUUCUAGGGAUUAAUUUGACUUAAACCCUAUCCUAUCUUAGAAAACUAUUUUUUUUUAAAAAGAGAUUUGAGAUGUGCGAACAUUAUCUAAAACCUUAUUUUGUAAAAAAUGUUAUUUAAUCAACCCUAACUUAUUUUUACCAAUGCAAUCCUAAAAAAGUAAUCCUAAGGAAAUUCUAAUUUAUUAAACCUACAUGUCUGAUUUACUAAACCUAUGUGCUCAUGCAGAAUUUUUUAUUUUUUAUUUUCUUAUUAUUUUUUAGUGUUUUUCCAAGACAAGCAAUUAUGAAAUAAAACUUACAUCUACACUAUCAAGAUAUUCAACAAAUAAAGAAUUAAAAUAAUCGAAAAAAUAACCUGUUGUCUCACAGGUUAAAUUAACGAUUACUCUAAUCCUAAACAUUACGACAAAAAGUUCAAGAUAAUUAAAAAUCUGAUCCGAAGUCUUACGGAUCAAAUUAAUAAUUAUAAUGAUUUAACAAUUAAAAUUCUACCAAAAUACCCAAAAAUUAAUAUAAUUAAAAAAAUAAUCCGAUGUCUCUCAGAUUAAAUUAAUAAUUAUAAUAAUUCCGGAAAAAAUCCUAGCGGAUAAUGUCUACAAUAUUCAUAAAAUGAACAAACAUCCAAUGUUUCAAUUUAAGCUAUUACAACUAAACAUGAUAAAUAAUAAUAAUAAUAAUAAUAAUAAUAAUAAACUACCUUGACUCUCUUUUUUUAAAAUAAAAAAGGGGUCAGAGCGCGGGCGCUUGGGCAGUGACGAUGCUGGUGCUCAGAGGUGCGGCAGGUGCCACGGACGGUGGCCGGCGUCGGGACUCCGGCGGGAGCAGGCGGACGGCGACAGUGAGGGGCUCGAGCUCGGAGCAGCGGCGGAGGCGGAGCUGGACCGCGGGUCGCUGGGUGGCGACGUCGGCAGCGGUGCGGGGCUCGGCUGGCGUCGGGGCGUCGCGGAUUGCUGGGCGGCGACGGCGUCGAGCUCCGGGGCAGUGGGCGUCGAUCCGGGUAGCAGGGAUCACCGGCGGAGGCGGUGCGGUGGCGCGGCGAGCAGUGGGGGCGGCGCUGGCGUCAGCGAGCGGACCAGCGAGGCGGCGGUGCGGAGGCGCGGCGGAGCUCGGAGAUCGACGGGUGCGUCGCGGGCGGAUCAGGAGUGUUGCAGUGGCGCGGCGUCGGCGAGGGCGGAAGCGCGGUCGUCGGGGCGCCCGGCGUUCGGAGGUGCGGCGAUGGAGCUGCAGAUGCGGGCGAGUCCGGCGGAGUGACAGUGACGUCGUGGGCAGAGGUGCUGUGAUCGGCGGGCAAGUGCUGCAGAUGCUCGAACAGAGGGUGGAGGCGAGCGGCGGGACGUCGUGCAGCUUUGCGGAGAAGGAACCCACGAAGAAGAAGCACAGUGCACGUCUCUUUCUUUUUUCUUUUUUUUUGGUUUCUCUCUCACCUCACGUCUACUCGCACGUAUUCCCUGCUGACUUUUGUACUUUUCUUCAGUCAAAAGGGGCAAACAGCCCCUUUGACCUGACCCAGAAAAUUGAACUCAAAAAGAAAUGAAGGAGAAAACUUCCUUACUUUUGCUUUGAAAAUUUUUCUUGAGUUCACUCUCGAUUUUUUUUUUAAAUCCACCCCUUGCUUACGAAAAAUGAAGCUCUCUUUUAUACUAAUUCCGAAUGGCUGCUUUAUAUGACAUUUUUCAAGUUUCCAUCUUCUGUCGCAUUAAAUCAGAGCUGUAAAUCAUAGCAUGAUUUCGCAAUCAGCCCGAUCCUACUCAGAUUUUUUCCAUUUUGCAAAAUUCUUGCUUCUUAUUUACUUGAUUUUUAAAUUGUUUCUGAAUGCUCAUCAGAAUUUCAAAUUUCCAUGCAUAAUCAAUCAAAUCAAUUUCCCUCAUUUUUUCAUUUUUUCCUUUUAUUUGUUCCAAUGCAAUUUUUAUUUUCUUUAUUUUCCUAGAUUUGCUAAAAAUAGGUGUCAACACAUCUCAAUUUGUGAAUCACUAAAACAAAGGAAAAAAAAAAGGAGCAAUGAAAUUACCUGAUCACAAAACGAUAUGAAGCUAGAUUUUUUAUUAAUCAAGGAAGAAAACUUCAACAUUCAUCCGCGAAAGAAAGUGACACAAGUAGAAAGGCUUCACGUGAAAAUCUGGGCUUUCUAGAUUCUAGAACUAGAACAGAGCAUGUUUGCCAAUUUCUAAGGAAUACCUAUUGACGCAUUGAAGAUAAGAAAAUUUCUUGUGAGCAUGUUUGCCAAGUAUUCAUUGAGAUAAUCGGUAACAUGAUCCAAUGAAUAAAUCUUUUGGCUAUUUCUUUAGAUAUCUCAUGUAUUUCGUGAGCAACAAUGAGUGAUCUCAAGUGAUGCAUGUGAAUGCAACAGUUUACGUAAAUUUGGGAGUACUAGUCAAGCUCAAAAUUGAAUAGUUCAAAUGUUAUGCAAGAUAGGAUGUUUAAAAAAAAAAAAACAGAAACAAGGAUUCAACGAGUAAGCAAAGGAAUCGAGAAUCUCCCUUGAUUAAGUUGUCUAGAGUUAUUGGAGUCAACAAAAGAUAACUCCGGAGAAAUAGAUGAGACAUAAAUGAGAGUACAAGAUGAAAAAGGAUGAGCAACAUAAACGACAUACAAAUGAACAUUAAGAGACAAUUGAAAUGUGAUAAAACCCUCAUUAAUUCCAAAAAAUGAAAAAAUCAGAAUUACCGAUGAUUUGUGAAAGGGAGACAAAUUUGUGUGUUCAAAUUGUACAAUUGUGUGCAACUGUUGUCCAAGUGGUAGAAAAAAGACGUUAGCCAAAGAAAAAGGACAAAUUGCAAACUAAAGAAAUAUUUUGAAUUACUUAAGCAGGUCAAAUUGCUGCGUUGUUAUCAUUCUGAAUACAAACAACUAGAAGCUUUUAAGAUUGUUUAUGCAUUGGUACCAUGGAAGAAAGGUUGAUAUGCUAAUCGUAGGAGAAAACCUAUUGGGCACAACUGUUAUAAAUAGUUAGGACUAGGGCCUAUCAAAGUACAAAGUAGGGUUGAGAAAAAAAUUGAAGGCAUAUCACAUUAUGGAUACUACUUCAAAAGUUGCAAUUAUGCUAAUGCUGUCCCUCUUGAUGUUCAAUGUUAUCAAAGGUGCCCUGCACACCGGUAUAGUUAAUAGGGCUUGCAAUAUCGGCUCCUAUUCGAGCAAUGAUCCUUACGCAAACGGCAUGGCUUACAUUCUUGAGGACAUGGUGACCGUGACACCUAGUGACGAGGACUACAACUACUCUACCACAUCUCCUUAUACCGCAGCAGCCGCCUAUGGUCACGCAACUUGUAGCCAAGCACUUUCUUACAGCAAUUGUGGCAUGUGCAUGGGCUCCGUUAAAUCCCAAAUACUGGCGAUAUGUUCAAACAGUCUUGGCACUCAAGUGAAGCUUGAACAUUGUAGAAUGAGGUAUGAAAACUACUCGUUCAACGGUUACGUAGUGUGGCACCAAAUAGAGAGAACCUUGUUCGAAUGGUAGAAUCCCCAGGACAUGCGUUGUUUAAGUUUGUUGAAAAAUAAGUUCUUUAAUCACGUAUCCUAAUUUCUGUUGUGCGUGGUUAUUUCUACUAUACAUGUUGUCAUGUUUAUUGUGGGAAAUGAUAUCAUAUAUCUUUCCUAUACUUUCUUUGUUAUUUUAAAGUUUUCUAACUUUUUUUCUUUCUAUAUGACGAGAAGACCUAAGCAAGUAGCUAAAAGCUAACGACUAUUAUGAAAAUUCGAACUUGCAUUGUGCAUCUAAGCUACACCCACAUCAUUGGGUUUGUUCCUACGAUACUUAAGAGAGAGUCUUCAAGAGACGGCAGUUGGAGACACGCACAUAAGAGGACUUGCAAGAUAGUGCAAAACCAGAAGCCUAAAUCAAUAGAAGGAAACGCUACCCAAUGGCCAAAAGAAAUGGCCACCGCCUUGCCAAAACCGCUUGUGAAUUUACCAUAUAUGUUGAACUCUAAGCACAACUCCUUGAUGAAAUUCAGAAAGAAAUAACCAUGACUUUGCCCCCAGUUUUUGCAUAAGGAUCGAUACCCAAAAUCAUUAAGGAGGUCAAGAACAUAUUUACAGCACACAAGAUAGACGCCAUGCGAGGAUCCAGUCAUUUCAAUGCAAGAAAAUAUCUCAACGCCAAGAAAAUAUCUCAACGAAGCCAAAUCAGCCAAAUAGAAACUAUGUUAAAUCAGUUACUGAUCAUACGAUAUAAGUGUAUUCAACAUAAACCAAGAUAAGUACAGAGGAUGAGCUAAUGCAUGAAACACAAAAUGGACUCAUCAGCAUAAGAUUGAAGCAAACCAGCGUCUACUAAUGCAGUAGGAGAUACUUAAGAAACCAACCUUCUUUGAAGAUUUAACGAGUCAUCAUAAAAGUGGCCUUGCUUCAGUUGCUAAGCCCAUGAGUCUGCUUUUCUAAAUCAGGAAAUGGACAAAAGAGACAGCCAAGGAGUUGAUCCUCUUGUGAUAUAUGCACAACUUCAAAUUAUUUUUCCUGACUUCAAUUGAUCAUGUCUCCCGCGGGAUCCAAUCGUGAACUUAUCUCAAAGACUGGUCUCCAAAAUGCUUGCACGCUACCAUGAUUGGGUCAGCAGACAAAGAGUAGAGGGCAUGACGAGAGGCAGAUGGUUCAGGCAAGUCCCCCUGUUGUACGUGAGAAACUUAAAAAAAAAAGAGAGAGAGAAAAAUGUGUUCCCGAGAGAGUAAUUAAAACAGAUAAAAAUGCCAAGGAAUGUACCUCCUUUGAGAGCCAACCUAUUGAUCGGCAAAGUAAUUCAAUUGCUGCAGUGGAAAAGACAACGGAAUUUACAUCAUCUGGGCCUGACUGUAAUGAAGUUGAUUGUUGUUCUCAAGACGUCUAGCAUUGGAAAUGUUUGACAAUGGCGUUCAUGUUCACGCAUCAUCAAAUGCUUUUUGGAAAAUCCCUUGCAGUGCAAAGGGUAAGAUACUUCAAGUAGCUUUCAUACACUUGCAGCCACGUUCCCCAGUCAGGAAGCCAUCCCUAUGUUAUUUGCACGUAAGAAGCUGAGCAAAUAAACCAAAUGUGUAAUCGACCUGUGGUGAUAAUCUGAGUACACAGCUCGACCCAAAUAUUCUCCACUACCGAUUCAAAUACCAUCCACUUCGAGGUAUGCCUCUUCUUUGAACUAUCUAUGGUGAAUAGGACAUUGUAAGGAUCAGAUUGUGAAAAAAGAAAGUUUAUAACAGAAAACUAGGAUCUCUCCCUCAAAGCACAUACACAAUAGGCUAAUCAGGAUUUAUGACAUAAUAUACUUCAUUACAAAGUAAAGUUAUUGCUAUUAACAUCUAUUUAAUUCAAUAUCAUCCUUAGACUGCUUAAUCAUUUGUAUGAAUUUCACCUGUUUGAAUAACAUUAGGCACCAAAAGCACUAACAGACAAGUAUACAUACCAGUUAAAUACAGAGAUUUCGUACCAAACCUACAUAUACGAGUAUCAAAAUCCACCUUCCACCCCUCCAAAUAUUUGCUGUCUUGGCGGGUUCGAUAUAGUGAACUGUCUCCCAGAUUUAAAACAACUUCAUUAAUGGGACAUGAGACUCAGUGAGAUGACGAUUGGAAGAAAACUUGGUGGUAAUCUGAUUUACUCUGCAUCACAUUUCAGAUGAAAAAGUGGACAGAUCUCAGAGACAAUGGAGAGUUCUACUAGAAAAGGAAGAAGUUCCAUCUGUCAUGAGAUAUUUGACCCACAACUCCAUCGUUGCUACAUCUGCAGAAAAACCCCUUUCAACCAUUUCACCGACAAGUUGCGCGGCUCUAGUACUUUUGUUAUUUCUUAGUAGUCCUUGGAUUAUUGUGUUAUAAGUGACCCCAUCUGGGAAGCAUCCAUUUCCUUCCAUCUCCUUUAAGAGUUGAUAUGCUUCCGCUGUACGUCCUCCUUUGCACAACCCAUGCAUGAGAAUGUUACAUGCCCACACGUUAGGUUGCAAGCCUUGAGCAUGCAAACAAUCAAACAGCCCCUUAGCAUCGUCGAGCUUUCUGGCAUUACACAUGCCAUUCAUUAUAAUAUUGUAAGUCACAAAGUUUGGGACAAAUUUGGAACCUUCCAUCUUUUGAAACAAUAUCAUGGCCUUGUCAAUCUGUUGCGUUUUACACAGGCCAUCCAGGAAAGAAUUCAAGGUAUAAUGAUCUAGAUACAGAUCGCGAGAUCGCAUCUCGCUAAUUAGCUCCUCCGCGGCUUUAAGGUUCCCAACCUGGCAAUAUCCACUUAUGAGAGUGUUGUACGUGAUGACAUCAGGAUUCAAGCCCCUUUCAAGCAUUUCUUGGAACAGUAUUUUUUAUUUGUCAACUCUUUUCCCUUUGCAGUAUCCAUUAAUCAACGUGUUAUAACAAACAACAUCAGGUGAGCAGCCUCUUUCAACCAUCAAAUUAAGAACCGCCAGAGCAUCAUCCAUCCUAUUUUGCAAACAAUAACCAUUCAACAAUGCAUUAUAAGUGACACUAUUAGGCAUUUUACCGAAUUGAAUCAUCCGGUUGAUUAUGGCCUCUGCCUUACAAGCAUUCCCUCUUUACAAUGUGCAUCUACCAGAAUAGUGAAGGUUUGAACAUCCGGCAUGACUCUGCUUUGCACCAUAUGACUCAGCAGUCUUUGGGCCUCUUUCAAUUGGCCGGAAUUGCACACUCCUUGAAUGACAGAGGUAUAAGUAACGACGUUCGGUUCAAUUCCUG
rnacentral:lncRNA from 1 species